rnacentral:rRNA from 1 species
UACGUAGGGGGCUAGCGUUGUCCGGAUUUAUUGGGCGUAAAGAGCGUGUAGGCGGCCAGGUAGGUCUGCUGUGAAAACUCGAGGCUCAACCUCGAGACGUCGGCGGAAACCAUCUGGCUAGAGUCCGGAAGAGGAGAGUGGAAUUCCUGGUGUAGCGGUGAAAUGCGCAGAUAUCAGGAGGAACACCGGUGGCGAAGGCGGCAUCCUGGACCGACACUGACACUGAGGAGCGAAAGCCAGGGGAGCAAACGGG